ensembl:lncRNA
AACCUCACCAUUGUUUCUUCUCCUUUACAGCAGGUUCAGGAUGUCAUAUGAAGUCAGCCUCUUCUUUUGCCCCAUCCUGCUCCCAACAUUACAGCUGGAGGUGCAGCUCAGCUUCAUGCUGGGUAGGGUGGCAGGAUCUCAGGUGGAUUCUUUACUGCUGAGCCAUUGGGGAAGCACUUACUUCGGGUCAGCACUAUCGAAGCACCAUUUUUCUUUUGGGAACUCAGGCUGGUCAUAACUGGAGUUUAGAAUACUCUGAACUGCUCCAAAUGCUUCACAGGGGCAAUGACUGACCAGUGCUACAAAUCCGUGGUCACUGGGGCUGGAACCAGUACCCAGGUUGCUGGAGCCCACUUUAAUGUUUCUUCUACUCACCAUCUGCUUGGACUCUGGGAACAUGGCAAAGUGCCCAAGAUGGAAGAUAAGGAAACCAAGGUUGAAGAUUACUCAGAAAGAAAAACAAAACAAAACAAUGAUUUCAAUUGGGCCCUGAAGUGGAGAUUCAUUAAGAAGCUAAAAAUAAAUAUGCUUUUGUACUGAAUUCAAAUAUGUAUAACAGCAAAUCAAUAAAAUCAGUAUGUUAUACUCUUAGUUACA